AAAAAUAUUCUUCUACUGCUGCAAAAGGCCAUAAAUGGAGAAAUCAAUCUGAACCGACUCCAUCCACUUCAUUUACGACAGAAAGCAUUAAUUGCAAUAGACGAGGAUGAUUCCAUUCUAUGAGAAUCCCAUACUGUUUAUCUGUAUCUUCCGACGUCAAAGCUCCAUCAAGCCGUUAAACAGAGCCAUAGAACUGUCAUAGGAUCAUCUUGUGGAAGGGCUAGAAGGCCGCUCAUGAUCAAGAUAUUUUCAGUUUGAUUUAUAAGACUUUGGGAGAUUAAUAGGCUGUGAACAUUGAGCACAUCCCGGGGAAACGGUGGGAUUUUUUGAUAGAUGUGAAACACCGAUUCAAACUGGCACCAUCUACCAUCCGUAAAAAAGCGGCUGAUAAGCAUACAAUUACAAAGUCUGAACUGUGAAAUUUUCACAAUUCUAAAUUAGUCAAUUGGGUAUGAUAAAACAAUCAAUAUAUGUAUGUACAAUAAACGUCACUCUUUGGACUCCCUUAAAAGGUGCAGCAGCUCUGUUUGGAAGUUGGUUUGGCCUUGGCUGCUCGCUAUUUGCUGGAGUAUCUCUCGCCUUGUUUCCUGGUGCUCAUCCUGUAAUUUCUGCUGCUCCUUCCGCACUUCAAGCAUUUUCCGAACAAUUUAGAAGAUUUUUCAGUUCAAUCUUCUUUGGUUGGAUCUGUCCCGGUCGACAUUAACGGAAUUAUUUCGGGACCCCCAUGAGGUUCGCAGUACCAUCAAGCCAAAUGUUUAUAGCGAGAUUUUCCAUAUGUGCAGUUAAUUUCGACUGCGUGUAUAUUUUGUUUAUUUAAUGGCUGCAAAGUACUAAGGUUAAAAGAAAGAAAAUAAAUACAUACAUAUGUACAUAUGCUUAUUUAUUAUGUCCAUUUUCUGGUCUCUCCAUUUUAAGAGAAACAAGCAAAGCAGCACGAACUCAGGCCCAGAGAGACAGAAAAACCGAUCCACAUCGACAGUCCUCGGUCAUAUUGGUUAUAUGAGCUUUGAAUCUGACGCUUUCAACGAAUUCUCUCACCCACGCGCGUACAUCAAUACAACAGGCUUCUCACCCAAGAACAAAUACAACUAAGCCAAAUGGGAGAGCGCUCUCUUAGAAUUGCAUUAAAUGAAGUUCAUUUCGAAUCUCUAACCGAGCUCUUUCCGUCAUUUAAUUUUUUCUACUGGGCUGUCCAGACGUACCCUUUUAAAUUUUUCGCAUAGCGGCCAGGAGGCAGACAUGAUCCGAUUUGAGGGGACUAAAAGAUAUGUAGUGAUUGCAUUUAAUGCAAUCGUGAUCCUACUUAUUAUCUUAGCUCUUAUAUUUGCCCAUAAACUUGGAUAAAAUGGCUGAUGUUCCAUCGAUGGAUAUAAAAGCAUUAACAAAUAUAUGUAUGUUGUGUGCAAUGGAUAUAAACUAAAAAUAUUAUUAAAU